rnacentral:misc_RNA from 1 species
GAUGAAGAACGUAGCGAAAUGCGAUACGUAAUGUGAAUUGCAGAAUUCAGUGAAUCAUCGAGUCUUUGAACGCACAUUGCGCCCCCUGGUAUUCCGGGGGGCAUGCCUGUCCGAGCGUCAUUGCUGCCCUCAAGCACGGCUUGUGUGUUGGGCCUCCGUCCUCCUCCCGGGGGACGGGCCGAAAGGCAGCGGCGGCACCGCGUCCGGUCCUCGAGCGUAUGGGGCUUCGUCACCCGCUCUUGUAGGCCCGGCCGGCGCUUGCCGACACAUCAAUCUUUUUUCCAGGUUGACCUCGGAUCAGGUAGGGAUACCCGCUGAACUUAAGCAUAUCGAUAAGCGGAGGA